GCCAGACUCCUACGGGAGGCAGCAGUGGGGAAUAUUGCACAAUGGGGGAAACCCUGAUGCAGCGACGCCGCGUGAGCGAUGAAGUAUUUCGGUAUGUAAAGCUCUAUCAGCAGGGAAGAAGAUGACGGUACCUGACUAAGAAGCCCCGGCUAACUACGUGCCAGCAGCCGCGGUAAUACGUAGGUGGCAAGCGUUAUCCGGAUUUAUUGGGUGUAAAGGGCGUGUAGGCGGGAAUGCAAGUCAGAUGUGAAAACUAUGGGCUCAACCCAUAGCCUGCAUUUGAAACUGUUUUUCUUGAGUACUGGAGAGGCAGACGGAAUUCCUAGUGUAGCGGUGAAAUGCGUAGAUAUUAGGAGGAACACCAGUGGCGAAGGCGGUCUGCUGGACAGCAACUGACGCUGAGGCGCGAAAGCGUGGGGAGCAAACAGGAUUAGAUACCCCCGUAAC
rnacentral:rRNA from 1 species